ACGGCCCAUGGCCCACGCUACAAAUAAAGUUUCACUGGAACGCAGCUGAGCUCUUUUGCUUAUGAACAAUAAGCACAGACCAUGAGUCUGUGGUCAAUCCCAUAGAUUCUGUAUUCCAAAGUAGACUAUAAGCAGAACUUCCACAGGAACUUGAAAAACAGGUUUUCUGACUCUGGAGACCGCCUCAUCUAUAUUGGGGACAUGAGUGCAUUGAUGAAAAUGGGGAGGUAUUUGAAAAGGGGUCCUUUGUAGAAAACUGCGGGUGCCAUGUGCCCUGGGCGGGAAGGAAAUGGCAGGUGGGUGCUUGUCUCUCACCUCAAGCCUGGCGAGAACGAUGCCACUGGCCUCCCCUGGGAGCUCGGUACGAGUCGCCCUGGUUAAAGAGGCUUUGUGCGCAGGCUCCGAUCGGCCAAGGGGGAGCUAGUCCGCUGGCCACUGUCCUAUGCCAUCAGAAGAAGAGCUUCCUCCUGCGGUCUAGACUUUUGGCCCUGAGCGAAGCCUCUCCAUUUUCAGACGGGGAGAGAUUUUUUCCUGGCUUAGUUUGAGAUCCUGGAAAAUUGACCCCAACAGGCGGAAGCUCAUGCCUGACCUGCAGACACCGGCUUCGGUCACAGUUGCAACGUGAAACGUGGACGCUAGAGGGCACUCGUCCACACCAGGGCCCAGGGGUCCCUCAGGCAGCCAGCCCACGUGGUAGCUGGGAGGGGAGGUUUUGAGGUCACAGCAAGACACUCAAGCUUGCCUGUAUCCGGUGUGGUCCAGCUGUGUUGCAAAACUUGAGGGGAUGCCAUUUUUAUCCCCAGGGAUCCGGCGACGCCGUGCCCAAGAAGGCGCAGUGGAAGGCAGGAAACACAGACGCCCCGGCUGCCAGUGUGUGCGACCCCAUCCGGACUCGGAAGCCUGGCAAUCGUACGAGAACUCCUCUGACCCAGAGCAAGGGCGAAUGAGCCCAUCCUGUGUUGCGCAAUCGGGAGGCUGUUCAUCUGUCAAACCCCAGCUGGUCACACUUGCUGAUGACUUACACUUACAACUGUCCUGGUCUUUAUGAGGGUUGGCGGCGGGGAGGGGCAGCGAAGGGAAAGGUAAAACCAAACCUUGGUGGCUGGCCACAAGGUGACACUUGAUCUAAUCAAAGAGUGUAUAUCUAGGACAUCCUGGCCGAGGCGCUCGGAUCCGCUCCCUGCCCUUCUCCACCCUGCCCUGCCCCUGAACAGCUGCCCUGCACGGAUGCCGCCAGAAUUCUCUCUUGCUCUCGGGAUGGAGGCCGUGGGGAGCUCCUGGAGGAGGCUGGAAGAAAGGGGGAGAGUAGGAUCAGUGUGGAUUCCCCCAGCCCUUCCUGAGGCAGCACCGGGGGCCGGGAGCACCCCGACUGCGGUGGGCCUCUCCACUCUGCUUCGCCCACCCCUCACCCCUUCAGGGCCGCUAACAAACCCAGCUGCUACUCAUCAGGGGGCUGCUGUGCCCCUUCAUCCUGCUCUCACCUUGGUUGGCCCCUUUAUUAAACUCGCCUCAAAGUGCCCAAUUUGAGUGUGUCAGUUAUUUCCCAUAGGGACCCCGAGUGACA